rnacentral:rRNA from 1 species
UGGGGAAUUUUGGACAAUGGGGGAAACCCUGAUCCAGCCAUGCCGCGUGUCUGAAGAAGGCCUUCGGGUUGUAAAGGACUUUUGUCCGGGAGCAAAUACCUGGUGUUAAUAGCGCCAGGGGCUGAGAGUACCGGAAGAAUAAGCACCGGCUAACUACGUGCCAGCAGCCGCGGUAAUACGUAGGGUGCAAGCGUUAAUCGGAAUUACUGGGCGUAAAGCGUGCGCAGGCGGUUAGAUAAGCCAGAUGUGAAAUCCCCGAGCUCAACUUGGGAACUGCGUGUGGAACUGUUUAACUAGAGUGCGUCAGAGGGGGGUGGAAUUCCGCGUGUAGCAGUGAAAUGCGUAGAGAUGCGGAGGAACACCGAUGGCGAAGGCAGCCCCCUGGGAUGACACUGACGCU